GUGAAAAAAAGCAGGUUCAGAAUUUAUAGUGGGAAUGUUGGCGCACUCAAUAUCUAUAUUAAACUCACAUUUUUCACAGUAAUAUGCGAAGCCAGAGCGAAGCCCACAGCAAGCAUUACACAUAAAUACAUAUGAUACCCUUAGGAAGAGAGGGCAAUGGUGAAUGAAAUGUUGGAUUUCCAAUGGGAGUCUGGAAUGGCCUUCGGACUUUUCUGUAGAAGUUACAAAACAAUCUAAACACAGAUGGA
rnacentral:misc_RNA from 1 species